rnacentral:misc_RNA from 1 species
GCUAUGUUUCAGCAUACGAGCAACUAUACUUAUUAUCAAAAUUUCAUACGAUACAAAGGAUUUUAAUUUUUAAAAUCAUUGUCUAGCAAUUGUUUUUGGAACAUUUUAAGAGUACCAUAAAUCACCAUGGAUUAAUCAAAACAGAACAUUAGCCUGAAAAUCUACAUGACUAAUAUUUUUUAAUCUCCUUUUCAGCUUUGGAAACAUUAACGCCAAAAAAAGGCAGGUGUAGGGGAAAAAAGCUUCGAAGAAGUACAAUGCCGGCAAAUUUUUGCCUAAUUUCUUUGGCCAAUCAUCAGUGGACUGCAUAAGGACAUUGCCAAAAUUUUGGACAACCCUUUUAUAGCAAGAAAGAUUUUAGGCGGUCCAGCGAACUUGCGCAUUUAACCAUUGAGAUGAGACUUGUAUCAUAUCAUUCAUUGCCAUAUCGAGCUGGAAUGCAAUAGUCAGUCAUCAGUUUCUGACUCCAGAACUGGAAGUAUGCUUAAGGCUGACGAACCAAGAUGCAUACCCCGAACUAUGCCUCCAUAUCCUACCUUGAUCUUGUGGCACAAAAGCAAGAUGGUAUCCCACAAUGCUGUUCUUCCCUGAAAACAAAGAACAAAACUCUUCUUAUUUCACCUAUGCAAAACCAUAUAUCAUGCAGCCUGGGACUACAUAUCACUGACACAUUCAAGUAUCAUCACUGUCCUCCACUUACAUUGUCAAUUUGGAAGUAAGCUUACACAUAUCACAUGCAAAAUGUACAUUAGGGUGGAUAUAAUAAUGCGAUGAUCCAGUCAACUUGAGAAUGUAUUUAUGCCAAAAUUAUAGAUGAAUGAUAAGAAAGCACAUUUAACAUGAUCACAGUGUGGUGUAGAGUUGAUUCUAAUAACCAUUGUUAUCCAAGCCUCACAUCUCACUACUUCCAUCUAUCCUUUCUCUCGUCUGCUUUCCCCGUGUUCUAUUUUUGUGCUUCAGUCAAGUUUCAUGCCCAUAUCAAUGCCAUUAUCCAUAAUGGUCCACUGAUGCUGUCAUAAAUUGCUUAUUCUCAUUAUUAAAGUUAAAUCACCUUAGUAAAUGAGAUAGCAUUUCUAAGAUCCUCUACUGGCAAGUGAGUAAUUUCAUUAAUGCCAUUUUAGUCCUCCCCAGCCUUUCCAUCCGUCACUCCAAAGUUAAGAUACUGCAUUACCUACCUGAAGAGAGAAUUGUAGUUUCUUAUCCCAGUACAAGGCAAAGAUUGGAGGGCUUUGCUUUCCAACAACCAGAAUACAUGCCCCUGGGUGAAGAGUGGAAGGAACACCCGAUAUGACAGAGAUGUACUUCUCAGGAAACCUUUCUUUUGGAGGAAGAACCCCCAAGAAUAAGGGGUUCUUGCUAGACUGCACUCCAGCAUAAGAUGUAGGAUCCACAUGAAGCAUCCACUUUGGGUGCUCCAGGAAAGCACAAAACAAAUAUAAGAGUAAGUGCGAGUCUGUAGGAAGCUCAAGAGUCCACUUCUUUUUGUCAUACACAUCUCCACUUCCCAGAUACUCAUAAUUCUUCAAGCAGGUUCCUUCAGCAAGCUCUCGAAUCCUCUGUACCAUAAAAUCCUCAGGAACAUUGAUAUGCGGUAGCAAACCUUUGGCCCAUUCUCCUUUCAUCAAUGUACGAAGCCUUUGGUGUUCAGUAAUGGCAUCCACACACUCCUGCAUGAUAGGGAUCAUAGGAUUUUGCUGGGGCGACUGUUGCAGGUUGGCCAGAGGCAACUUAGGCAUGUAAGCAUCAAGGGCCUGCAUAAGCGUAGCACGUAAUUGAUAGAGAAGUCCAUCUUCAUCAAGUGUGAAUGCUGGCUGCCAUUCCUUCCUAUCAACUGAAGACAUAGUAGCAGGAGUUCCACUAGUUGGUGAAUCACAUCCCACUUGACUAAUUGUGAUUGAAAUACCAAGUUUGGCGGCUGCUUGCAUUACCUGAAAGUGGCUGGUUUGAAUUUUGCUUAGUAGAGGAUUUAACACAACUGAUGAAAACCAUUGCCUGAGGCGGUCACGCCACUGCUCAAUCUGGGGAUAGAUGCCCAAAUGCUUGAAAGCUUCAAUAGACUCUUCCAUGGAUAUUGGUAGAGGAAGUUCACCCUCUCCUUUCUUAGGUGGGGUGGUAAACUUCUGUGAACCAGGAGACAUCCUCACAGGUCGCAAGGGUGUGCUCCUCUUAGUUCCAGAUGUAUUAGCUGGACUAGCUACCGUAUUAGGACUAGCCACACCAAAGCCCCUAAUUGUGGGGGGUGGAGUUGCUUGCUUCCCAGCUGACAUUGCAAUUUUCUCAUCUACUUCUGCCAAGAACUGCUCAAGCUGUUCUUCUGUGGCUAUCUCUUUAGUAGAGGAGGUUCGCUUGCCUGACCAAGGAGUUGAGACUGCUGAAUCCAUCCCUGGAGAAUAUUGAGUAGAAGGCAGAGGUGAACUAGCCCCAGCAACAAGGUAUAAAGAGGAUGGAGAACUCUGUGAUUUGGAUGGGGUGCUAAAAGAAGUAAUCUUGUUUGCACUGCCAGCAUUUGAUUUAUCAGAGCCAACUCGGGAAUUACGAUUGGAACUGGUAAUUUGUUGGUGAAUUGGGACAAGGACAUCUGAAGCAGACAAUAUAGGUUUGGACUUGGGAGGUUUCUUUGAAGAUUCAGUUAUAACUGAUUCAACUUUUGGCUUUAAUCCCAAAAGCCCCAGCUGACGGGUCGUUAGAAGUGAUUGAUCCUUAGUUUCUUUAGAGGGAGAUUUUAUUGGAACACCAGCUGCAUAUUUUCCUCUAUGCCAAGAGAUGGCUUUGAAGAAGGCAAAUAAAGAUCCAAUAAAAACUAAACCCACCAAAGCUUGUAAGACUUUCGAGAAUAUAUAAGCUGCUUCUAGGGGAAAAUUUGUGCAUUUCAUUGUUUCAAUCAGUCCAUUUUCCCUGGAGAUAACAGAGAAUAGAGCGAAAGCGGAGGCAGAGGAGAGAAAGAAGAUAAAGAGGAGGGCGGAUUUAGAGGGCUGGAGGCUGUUGGCAGUUAAAGCAGCGGAUAAGGUCGCGUUUUGAUACACUGCAAAUUUUGACUGUUUGGUCACCGGCGGCAAACCCUUGUCUCUACCGCUGCCUCCACCACCGCCAACAUCCAUUGUGAGUAAUAAUUAGACGCAGCGACUGGGACUGGAAGGUGAGGGAAACACAAAUGGCUUCUUUAUGCCAUUGGCGAAGAGGAGAAAGGAAGAUUUCAGUGUUGCGAUAAGAGAGAGGGCUCUCUCUACCUGCGUUCUUUUGUAUUUUUGGAGCUCAAAGCUGCAUUCAAUUUCCAAGCGCUCAAGAGUUCCUUAU